GGGCUGAUAGCACAACUGGCUAAUGCAUCUGCAUUAAUUUAGUCUUCACUAUGUCUUCUGCGGAGGAUCUCCGUUCGAUUCGGGGUCAGGCCA